AGCGCGCACGCCAUCUCGGCGGCGUCGUACCAGUUGGCCGUGAGGCCCGGCAUCGCCUCGUCGGCCGGCGCCGGGCGCUUCCUCUUUGUCGCUGUGCUCAUCGACGGGCGCGUGCGCGCAGAGAGGCGCAAGGAAUGGGUCAGAGGAUUGGGGGAAAGCGACGAGAGCCUCGGUGGACAAAAAAAACAAUGAAAAGAAGAAGUCGGGGGAAAGGGCGCUUGUCGCCGCGCGGUCGAUCGAAAAGGGGCGGCCUCCCGGCGUGUGUUGCGCUUCUCUCCCUGUGCGUAUGUGCCUCUCUCGUCGCUCGCUUGGUGCCUCUCUCUUUUUUUUUUUUCCUGUCGGGCCUGUCGGCGUUUGUCGUUGCGAUUCUUUGGUGCCUGCCUGUCUGUCUGUCGGGGGCGGUCUCGUGCCUCGGUGUAUGGUCUCGGUGCUUCCUUGUUCCCCCUCGUGCUCUUUUUGCCGACCUCUUUUUUUUUCCGGAUGCUCCUUUUUUGUCGGAAAAAAUGGCUCCCUUGGCGGCGUAUGCCCCGUCUCUUUUGUCUCUCUUGCC
rnacentral:lncRNA from 1 species